ACGGAAGGCAGCAGUGGGGAAUAUUGCACAAUGGGGGAAACCCUGAUGCAGCAACGCCGCGUGAGUGAAGAAGUAUUUCGGUAUGUAAAGCUCUAUCAGCAGGGAAGAUAAUGACGGUACCUGACUAAGAAGCACCGGCUAAAUACGUGCCAGCAGCCGCGGUAUACGUAUGGUGCAAGCGUUAUCCGGAUUUACUGGGUGUAAAGGGUGCGUAGGUGGCAUGGUAAGUCAGAUGUGAAAUACCGGGGCUCAACCCCGGGGCUGCAUUUGAAACUGCCAGGCUGGAGUACAGGAGAGGCAAGCGGAAUUCCUAGUGUAGCGGUGAAAUGCGUAGAUAUUAGGAGGAACACCAGUGGCGAAGGCGGCUUGCUGGACUGUUACUGACACUGAGGCACGAAAGCGUGGGGAGCAAACAGGAUUAGAUACCCUGGUA
rnacentral:rRNA from 1 species